UGGAGUGGGUGAAGGUGGCUCUGCCAAGUUUGUGCUGAAGCAGAGCUGGGUGAGCCCAGGCUGGGGCUCAUCCAUGGCAGCUCGUUAAAGGAUGAUCCAGCUGUGUGAGCAGGGAUUUAGCAUCGCUGAAAGUUCCAUGGUCAAGCAUCAGUGGCAGCCUCUGGCUUCUGGCUUGUCAAGAGAUUCUGGACAUUGAAGAUGCUUGGCCUCUAAACCUCAAGGAAAAUCAACGUGCCUGCAUCCAGGAGAAAGGAGAUUUCAGCUCCUCUUUAGGGCAGCAGUCGGAGGCAGCAG